rnacentral:rRNA from 1 species
AGAGGGUUCGGCCCUCGGCUGACGGCUCAGUAACACGUGGAUAAUCUGCCCUUAGGUGGAGGAUAAUCUCGGGAAACUGAGGAUAAUACUCCAUAGAUCUAGAAUGCUGGAAUGCAUCUAGAUUAAAAGCUCCGGCGCCUAAGGAUGAGUCUGCGGACUAUCAGGUUGUAGUCAGGGUAAAGACCUGACUAGCCUACGACGGAUACGGGUUGUGAGAGCAAUAACCCGGAGACGAUAUCUGAGACACGAUAUCGGGCCCUACGGGGCGCAGCAGGCGCGAAAACUUCACACUGUGCGAAAGCACGAUGAGGGAAUCCCAAGUGUUUGCUCGUAAGAGUAAACUGUUUCUUUGUUUAAAAAGCAAAGAGAGUAAGGGCUGGGUAAGACGGGUGCCAGCCGCCGCGGUAAUACCUGCAGCUCAAGUGGUGAUCAUUAUUAUUGGGCCUAAAACGUCCGUAGCCGGUUUAGUAAAUGCCUGGGUAAAUCGUGUAGCUUAACUAUACGACUUCCGGGUAGACUACUAAACUUGAGACCGGGAGAGGCUAGAGGUACU